GAUGAACGCUGGCGGCGUGCCUAAUACAUGCAAGUCGAGCGACGCGGGGCCGGGUGAGUAACACUUUGAUAACCCCCUAUAAGACGGGGAGAACCUCGGGAAAACGGAGCUAAACCGGAUACUCAUAGCUGGUGCCACGCUGCAUUAGCUAGUUGGUAAGGUACAGGCUUACCAAGACAACGAUGCAUAUCCGCACGGAGAGGGUGAUCGGCCACACUUGAACUGAAGCGCGGUCCAGUCGCCUACGGGAGGCAGCAGUCGGGAAUCUUCCGCAAUGGGCGAAAGCCUGACGGAGCAACUCCGCGUGAUUGAUGAAGGUCUUCGGCUCGUAAAACUCUGUUAGUAGGGAAGCGGUACCUACUCAGAAAGCCACGGCUAACUACGUGCCAGCAGCCGCGGUAAUAC
rnacentral:rRNA from 1 species